AGAGUUUGAUCCUGGCUCAGAGUGAACGCUGGCGGCGUGCUUAACACAUGCAAGUCGAACGAGAACAGAAGAGAGCUUGCUCUCUUGCUGCUAAGUGGCGCACGGGUGAGUAAUAUAUAGGUAAUAUGCCUCUUACUAAGGGAUAAUUGUUGGAAACGACUUGUAAUACCUUAUAUGCCUUUUGAACAUAAGUUCGUAAAGGGAAAGAUUUAUCGGUAAGAGAUUAGCCUGUACGGUAUCAGAUAGUUGGUGGGGUAAUGGCCUACCAAGUCUAUGACACCUAACUGGUUUGAGAGGAUGAUCAGUCACACUGGAACUGAGACACGGUCCAGACUCCUACGGGAGGCAGCAGUGGGGAAUAUUGCACAAUGGACGAAAGUCUGAUGCAGCAACGCCGCGUGGAGGAUGACACAUUUCGGUGCGUAAACUCCUUUUAUAUGAGAAGAUAAUGACGGUAUCAUAUGAAUAAGCACCGGCUAACUCCGUGCCAGCAGCCGCGGUAAUACGGGGGGUGCAAGCGUUACUCGGAAUCACUGGGCGUAAAGAGCAUGUAGGCGGGUGAAUAAGUUGGAAGUGAAAUCCUAUAGCUUAACUAUAGAACUGCUUCCAAAACUGUUCACCUAGAGUAUGGGAGAGGUAGAUGGAAUUUCUGGUGUAGGGGUAAAAUCCGUAGAGAUCAGAAGGAAUACCGAUUGCGAAGGCGAUCUACUGGAACAUUACUGACGCUCAGAUGCGAAAGCGUGGGGAGCAAACAGGAUUAGAUACCCUGGUAGUCCACGCCCUAAACGAUGUACACUAGUUGUUGCUAUACUAGAUAUGGCAGUAAUGCAGUUAACACUUUA
rnacentral:rRNA from 1 species